GACGAACGCUGGCGGCGUGCCUAAUACAUGCAAGUCGAACGAGAGCGACCGGUGCUUGCACUGGUCAAUCUAGUGGCGAACGGGUGAGUAACACGUGGGUAACCUGCCCAUCAGAGGGGGAUAACAUUCGGAAACGGAUGCUAAAACCGCAUAGGUCUUCGAACCGCAUGGUUUGAAGAGGAAAAGAGGCGCAAGCUUCUGCUGAUGGAUGGACCCGCGGUGCAUUAGCUAGUUGGUGAGGUAACGGCUCACCAAGGCCGUGAUGCAUAGCCGACCUGAGAGGGUGAUCGGCCACAUUAGGACUGAGACACGGCCCAAACUCCUACGGGAGGCAGCAGUAGGGAAUCUUCCGCAAUGGACGCAAGUCUGACGGAGCAACGCCGCGUGAGUGAAGAAGGUUUUCGGAUCGUAAAACUCUGUUGUUAGGGAAGAACAAGUGCUAGAGUAACUGUUAGCGCCUUGACGGUAUCUAACCAGAAAGCCACGGCUAACUACGUG
rnacentral:rRNA from 1 species